GACGAACGUUGGCGGCGUGCUUAAUACAUGCAAGUCAACUGAAGCAGUGGUAGCUAUAUCGCUGUGGAGGUGGCGCACGGGUGAGUAACACGUAGGUAAUCUGCCUUCAGGUCUGGCAUAACUCCGGGAAACCGGGGCUAAUAGCAGAUGAUGCAGCGGCUCGACAUCGAGACAGUUGUUAAAGCUAUGGCGCCUGAAGAUGAGCCUGCGUCUGAUUAGCUAGUUGGCGGGGUAACGGCCCACCAAGGCAACGAUCAGUAGCUGGUCUGAGAGGAUGAUCAGCCACACUGGAACUGAGACACGGUCCAGACUCCUACGGGAGGCAGCAGUAAGGAAUAUUGCUCAAUGGGAGAAAUCCUGAAGCAGCAACGCCGCGUGAGGGACGAAGGGCUUUUGCUUGUAAACCUCUGCAGUGAGAGAAAAAAAAUCCCAAUCUUUGGGACAUGAUGGUAUCUCAAAAGUAAGCCCCGGCUAACUACGUG
rnacentral:rRNA from 1 species